AUUCUGGGUAUCAUCAUAGAAGCCAUCCUCACCCUGCUGACUGAGCCAGUAGUCGUGGUACCAUGUGGAGGUUGUGACCAGUUGCCACCAUUCAGGGGAGAAAUCCUCCACCUGCCGGAGAGCCGCAGGGAUAAAGAGAGGGGCGUUGGGAUUCAAUCUUGAUCCUCCGGAAACCAGGGCCAUCUUUGGCUAAGCGCAAGUCAACUACAUCGGAAAAACAGUCAAUCAGUUACGAAAUCUUCUCGUUUUCAGGUUCCACACACGUACAUCAGAAAACAACAAAUGCAAUAAUCCAUGGAAGACGUUUUAUACGACGCAAUUUCAUCCAAAUCUAUGAUUUUCAAUUGAUCAAUGAACUCGCAAACUUUCACAUUUCAAAGUUCACAUGACCAGAAUUUAGGAUCAAACGAAAACAGUAAAACCUAGUCGAUUUGAAUGAAGACAAUUUGGCGGAUUUGAAAAAGAUUGUGAAUUGAAAAGGAAAAUAUAUUCUUUAGAAAUAAAUACGAAGCUUUUCUUAAAAAUAAAAACCAAAAACAAAAUCAAAGCCAUCAAAACAGCAGAUUAAACACAUAAAUAAAUAAAUCAGAUUUUCUAAAUUUUCUCAACAACCAAACAGAACCAGAUCUACCAAUCAGAAAUUAAAAACAAACCAAACCCUCACAGCCAAAUCAUUCGCUCAAUUUUACCUAAUCACCUGAACCUUCUAAUCUUAAAUUUUUUUCGGACACCAGAACCUGAAUUCAAAGAAUCAAGAUUGCAAUUUGGUUCUUUUUCCUCCAUUUUCUCCAAGAAGAUGUUUACAAUAUCUUUUUUCUUUACAAAUAAUCAGAUCCAUUAAUGAACGAAAAUAAAUUCAAUAAAUAGAACAAAAAUCGAAAGAUUUUCAGUAC
rnacentral:lncRNA from 1 species